rnacentral:lncRNA from 1 species
GCCUCCUCCAGCCGCAGCUUCAGCCUCUUGUUCUCCGCCUCCAGGUCCUUCAGCUGCGACUCCCGCAGCCGCACCAACUCCUCCAGGUACCCCUUCUGGGCAUAAACGAUGCGGAACUUCUGCUCCAUCUUGCGCCACUUGUUGUACCAGCUGUCCUCGUCGGUCACCAGCGGCAGGUAGGGGUGCUCGGGGGAGCUGUCCUCGCUGGUGCUGCUCCCCAUGCUG